rnacentral:rRNA from 1 species
UACGAAGGGUGCAAACGUUGCUCGGAAUUAUUGGGCGUAAAGCGCACGUAGGCGGCUUAGCAAGUCGGAAGUGAAAUCCCUCGGCUCAACCAAGGAAGUGCUUUCGAAACUGCUGAGCUUGAGUACUAAAGAGGAUCGCGGAAUUCCCGGUGUAGAGGUGAAAUUCGUAGAUAUCGGGAGGAACACCAGUGGCGAAGGCGGCGAUCUGGGUAGAUACUGACGCUGAGGUGCGAAAGCGUGGGGAGCGAACAGG